UAAUAAUAAUAAUAAAAUACAAAACUCUGUAGUAUGAUAGUUAUUUCAUAAUAAUAUUAAGUUGUUGCUGUGGCAACGUAAAAGUUGCGAAUACUAAAUUUUGGUAUUUUUGUAAAUGAUGUAAUUGUUAAGUUGAUUUUUUUUCUUUACGUUUGUUCUUUUGGUUUUUUUCCUAGGGCACUGUAAAACAUUAGAUCGUAAAGCAGAUAUUGCAACAUUUCCUAUUUUAUGUCAAGAUUAUAUUACCAGGAGAUUUUUCGGUAGCAUUUAAUGGCCUCUUUAUUGGUGUAACAUUUAAGAUGGCAGUAAAUACUCACCAGUUACAAUAGUGUGACGUAACUUAAGAAACUUCUAGUGUUGGGUUAACCCACGCCCCUUCCCCAUUUUAGAUUGACAAAGGAUCUCAAGUACUUGUGAAGAUCGUUUUCUAUAUUAUUUAUGAAAGUUGUCCUGGUUUGUUCAACAGCUUGAAUGAGUCAACGAUUGCACUUUGAUUUCAUGUAACUGUAGGGUGUUCAUUUCAAAGACUGAUGCACAGUGAAUAUGGUAUGGCAACACAAAUAAUGACCGUUGUUUUAUUGCUUUAGUUAAACCAGAGAACUAAAUACUCCGUAUGCAUCUUGCAUGGUAUUUUAUGUCAAAUUAAGAAGUUAUUUUCAAUUUAAUCUGAGAGAAAAAAAAGAGAUAUAUUGAAUGUUUCUAUCUACACUAUAGGAAAAAAAACCUGCACAUGUGAUGAAAGCAACAGUUGUACUUAAUUUGGGAUUUCUUACACCCCAAACCAAAUGUACAGUUGUGGGACAAAAAACAAACAAACAAAAAAAAGUUGACUGAUGGUGAAAAAAAGCACUUUCGAAUCAGUUGAUAUACUGAGCAGACACAGCGUAUCCAAACACUUUGCCUUACCUUUAGUCCAUUGUUUUUAAGCUUUUGUGUUUCAGAGCUAUUAAUAUGUACUAGGGUGUCAACAGAACUUACUUCUCACCUCCAUUUAUAUAUGAACAUACUAUACCUAUAACUAAGACAUGUAAGAGUUUAUUAUUAUUAUUGUCACUGAGAGACCAAAAGGUUUGACGUUGUUGAUGCUUUUCAAUGACCUUUCCUGUUUGUGACGAGAUGCUGUUCUCAAGGGAUUGUGGGUAUUUUACGCUGUGCUGCUUGACUUCCAUCAGUAAUGCAGUAGCCCAUCGACACACACACAUACACAUGUGUUCAGAGAUCAUACGAGAAGAAAAUUAUAAACCAAGCCCUCUUUGGAUAAUAUUAGUUUUCAUGGAACCAAAAUCAUUU